AUUGAACGCUGGCGGCAUGCCUUACACAUGCAAGUCGAACGGCAGCACGGGAGCAAUCCUGGUGGCGAGUGGCGAACGGGUGAGUAAUAUAUCGGAACGUGCCCAGUCGUGGGGGAUAACGCAGCGAAAGCUGUGCUAAUACCGCAUACGAUCUACGGAUGAAAGCGGGGAUCGCAAGACCUCGCGCGAUUGGAGCGGCCGAUAUCAGAUUAGCUAGUUGGUGGGGUAAAGGCCCACCAAGGCGACGAUCUGUAGCUGGUCUGAGAGGACGACCAGCCACACUGGAACUGAGACACGGUCCAGACUCCUACGGGAGGCAGCAGUGGGGAAUUUUGGACAAUGGGUGCAAGCCUGAUCCAGCAAUGCCGCGUGCAGGAUGAAGGCCUUCGGGUUGUAAACUGCUUUUGUACGGAACGAAACGGCCCUUUCUAAUACAGGGGGCUAAUGACGGUACCGUAAGAAUAAGCACCGGCUAACUACGUGCCAGCCGCCGCCGUAA
rnacentral:rRNA from 1 species